CGGCCGAGGCGUGGUGACUCAGAAUCGGGAGCAGCCGGGCCAUGGGUCUGGGUGGCAAGGUCGGCCUGUGUGUCAGGCCCCGCCCCUGGCACCCGGCCAGCUGGAAGGCUGGGAGGCUGGAGGUUUGCAGGCUCAUAAAAAGAAAACGUCUGCUCCUCCACCAGACAAGAAUGCGCCGGGUUCAGCAGGGAAAGGAGGGCCCUGCUGGUGCCGCGACUUUCACGCCCAAGGCAGUGUCAUCCUUCAGAUCAGGAGGCUGGCGAAGAUCUGCUGGUUCUUCAGGGCAGAUGUCACAGCACAGACAGGGGAGGACUACGCCACUGGUCUCCUUGCAGGGAUCCCAGUAGCAGAAUCUCUCCCUCUGACUUGAAAUGGCAUUGCAUCAAGCAGGGUGUCUCAAAACUAUCUAUAAAUGUAGGACCCGUCUUGUU